rnacentral:lncRNA from 12 species
GCUGGUUAUAAAAGGAGCGCAGCGGUUUGUGACGGUGCCCAUUUCGUCUUGGGUUUUGUGGUGAGUCUGUGGUAGAGCGUUCUCCUCAGUGGUGAGGGAACAUGGCGGCAGCUCCCACAUACAAUCACAAAAGCUAAUGGACAUCAGAAGGAUGGGAUGGACUAGAUUGUAGAAAACAAACUUCAGAAAUCAAAGAAAAGCAGGGUGCUACUUUCAUCUCAACAGGUCACAGUAUCAAUACAGCAGCCAAACUACAAGGCUUGAUCGUCUUGCUAUGAAAAC